AUAGACGGUUCGGAUAUUCGGUGUGACGGGUUCGUGGGAGGAUAUAAGGGUAAUUGUGCGAGAGGUGCACGUGUGUGUGUGUGGGGUGGGAGCAUGGGAUUACUCCCCAUGCCAAUAAUUUCCCCAGGAGACUACUUUCUCCCAUUUCUCUUUUUCUCACUCUCUCGGCCAAACUCUCUCCUCUCCUCCGAAACUCUCUCCUCCCUUCUCUCUUCGAUCUCAACACCUUAGACCGUGAUUCCGAACGAAGUCCAAGAAUUAAAAUUGCUAUACGGAGCACGGGCUUUCCGAAUAUCCAAGAAAAAUCUUGAUCGGACCGCGUGGGAGCUCGGUUGACUUGGUCAAAGGGUCGGGUUUUGCUCAAAACCCAUGAGGUACAACACUGGGGUAGUGAUUUGAAGUGCAUGGAGUGCAUCUUUGCAUAAAAAGGGGUUCUUCAGGAGCUACCUAUAUAUUUGAAAAUCAAAUUGUAUUGUAAUGUACUGGGAUGUCUUAAUUUGAAACAUUAUAUUUGUGGACAAAAUUGAGGAUUUGGGAGCAGUAUUGUAUUUUGGGGUAUUGGCUGUACUAUUGUGAGGUUUUAUACUUCAAAUGGUAUUGUUAUUUAUGUUUAAAAA